ACGAACGCUGGCGGCGUGCUUAACACAUGCCGGUCGAACGGAAAGGCCCUGCUUUUGUGGGGUGCUCGAGUGGCGAACGGGUGAGUAACACGUGAGUAACCUGCCCUUGACUUUGGGAUAACUUCAGGAAACUGGGGCUAAUACCGGAUAGGAGCUCCUGCUGCAUGGUGGGGGUUGGAAAGUUUCGGCGGUUGGGGAUGGACUCGCGGCUUAUCAGCUUGUUGGUGGGGUAGUGGCUUACCAAGGCUUUGACGGGUAGCCGGCCUGAGAGGGUGACCGGCCACAUUGGGACUGAGAUACGGCCCAGACUCCUACGGGAGGCAGCAGUGGGGAAUAUUGCACAAUGGGCGGAAGCCUGAAGCAGCAACGCCGCGUGCGGGAUGACGGCCUUCGGGUUGUAAACCGCUUUCGCCUGUGACGAAGCGUGAGUGACGGUAAUGGGUAAGGAAGCACCGGCUAACUACGUG
rnacentral:rRNA from 1 species